UCCCCUUCUCUUUCAAGAGCGCACAUAAAUUCGCCAUCGAAGAGUGAUGCCUUCAGUUGCUGAAGAAUGAAAAAAAACCUAGGCAUGAAGUUUUGAAGGAGUAACGACAGUCUAAGAGGGGAGUGGCGCGUCAGUCGACAAACAGCUGAUUUGUUGUACCUUUCUCAGGGCCUCAGCAGGGUUCCUUUGCUUGAUAGUCCUGAUUUCG
rnacentral:lncRNA from 1 species